AGCGAGGGGCUCCUUGCUGCAGCUGGGAAGGAAGGGAAACACUUUUGCCCAGUUUCUGGUCUUUAGCAUGCACCCAGGGACCGCCUCUGUUGUAUUGGCUUGGGGUGGUGGUUGGACUAGAUGAUCUUAUUGGUCUUUCUUUCCAAUCCUAUUAAGACUUUGGUUCUAUCAUUUAUAGGUGGGGAGCGCCACCUGCUGCGGGCGAUGCACCGAGCGACCCUUCAACGUCUGUUACAUCGGCAUCAUAACUGCAUUGAUGGGAAAUGAAUACCAAAGUUGUGGUAUUUUGUAACCUCAGCCUUCCAACAGCCAUUCCAGUAGGUGAAGAGCAGCUGAUCGCCACUGCCAGUCAGAAGAACAUCUUAACUGACACCACCUGAAGAUAUUAACUUUCUGUUUAAAAAGAUGAACGGCAAAAACUGAUCUGUUAAAAUGACCUGUCUGGGAGUUGGGGACUCCUCACCAGUGUAUGGCCUUGCAGACCAAUCAGACCAACGACUGUCAGAGCCCUGUGGGCACUAAUGGCCUUAAGCAGCCCCACCUGUAGCCAUCAGCAGCUCAGCUGUAGCCCUAGAGAUGCCAACUGCUGCCUGUGUUUGUGUAAGGCUGAUCAAAGUGCACUUUGUCUUUGGAACAGCACUGAUUGAACCAGCACAAGGUUUUACAGAUUCAUCAGAGAAGAGGAUCUCUUCAGAGUCUGCUCGAUUGGCUCAGAAUAUUAGGAAGAAAGGAAGCUCUACGCAAGUUACAGUAUUAUAUCAGACAUCAUGGGAGAAUGUCUGUUCAGUACUCAGUUGAAACUGCCGUUAUGCCAGGCACGAGAGGAGCGUUGUUCCAAAGUUGUGUGGAUGUGAAAACAAACAAAAUGGAGCCCUGCGGAUUUCCAGCAUGCAUGAGUGUGAGAGACAAAGGCUCUUAGCAAGGAAACUACAUGAGUCUCUUCAUCUCGGCGUGGAUCUUAGAAAUACUGUAAGGAAACGUAACUUCAGCUAACAAAUCGGCUUGACAUGUCCCAUUAAGAACAAAAUCGCAACAUGGGGAACUGUGGGUAAUUCUCUGCCUUCUGUUUUCUUGGUUGUGCCGUAAACUAUUCUCAAAAUACGAAGGAGUGCCAGAAAUGACAUGCCAUUAGUGCCUCCAGGAGGACCUCAUUUACAUCCCAUUACCCGCCACGCCAAGAGCUGCUAUCGCUGCACAUCCCGAGCGGGACCAGGGCUGCCUGGCAGAGGAGAGGCUGGGGAGGCAGCGCCGUGCCUGCCGACUGCUGAUGCCAUGGGACCUCUUUUAUGAAAAAAGCAAUUCUCUGAUAAUCACCGCUGAAGCUGCAUCAUCAUUACUGUGAGAUCUGCUGCUCUGGACCGCUCCUGCGGGGAUACUGCAGUGCAUUUUUAUGAGGGAGUGCCGGACCUCCCUUGGCCAGAACGGUCAGGGAGGCUUUUCAUGGGAGUCCAAGGAAAAUCCAGGUGGGGAGGGGUGGUGGGCUCUGCUCCCACCUCCUGCAAAAAGCAGGCUCAGGCACCACUUAGGGCACCUUCCCAGGGCUAUCUUAGGGCUGAGAUAGCCUUCUCCACCCUCCCAAAAGUGAGAGUGAUUUUAAGUGCCUAGCCUGCUGACAGAGCUCCGUUUUCCUGAGCAUUUCACUCUGGGGAUGGAGUUUGGAUGAGAGAGCCCAGUCCUGCCCCAAGGGACGUCCUUGGGAAGGGGUGGCCUUAAAAGCCCUGGGAGGCAGCCCAGGGGUGGGAGGGCUUGGCUUGGGUGGGUCAACGUUGCAUGGCAUACGCACAGCUCUCAAUCUCCAGCGUGCAGUUCUGCUGGUCCAGCGGGUACCUCCGCAGGUCCAUCAUGCAGGCGGCCGUGGUGGUGAUCCUGAAAGAAGAUGGGAGAAAAAAAAAUAAUAAUAACAAUAACGAUUAUUUUUUAAAAAGGAGAAAUGAAAGGCAGAUGUGAAAGUCAGGCAGCAUUUGGGGCCGCUGUUUCCCUGGAAACCAGGGAGAGCCACGGUGGGAGAGUGGAGGGAGGUGUGCGGGGGGCUGGAUGCGGCUCACCCUCAACUGCAUGGCUUACACCCUCCGUGACUCACGUCAGCAAGGCAGUAUCUCUAUUAGCAGGGUGGGGAGGGAUUGGUGUUCCUCCUCUGUCUCUCCAGGAGAAAGACAAAGAAACUGGGAGUAGGCAGAGCUAUGAGCGGAGUGGGGAGAGGAGAGAGAUGUCAGCUUGUGAAAGAGAGGCUGAGGGCACAUGCCCGUAGAACAGAAAAACAUUGAUUACAUUGUCCUGCAGUGGCCUCUUUCCUCCCAAAUUGCCCCAAGAACCCCCACUGCAGCCCUCACCUAUCUGUGCCCCUCCAUCACACUCACUGCCCUCCUGCUCUUGCACUGUGUGCUGGUGGCUCCAUUAACAGAUUCACUCCUGUGCAAGUGAUUCCAUGGUCAAGAUUCACCUGAAGUGUAUAUGUGUGCAUCCCCUAGGAAAAUAAAUAUAGGGAGAGAAAGAGGGCUGGGGUUGUUUUAGAGGUGUCAGUGCCACACAGUACCUGUGGAGGGUUUACAUGCGUGUGGGUGUGUGUUUUACAUGGUGCACAUAAAGGAGCAUUGCUCUCUGGGUUGGGGCAUUUUGCAGUGGGGCAGGUGGGCUGCAGGCACAAAGCAGGGAGGCAGCAAUUCAAGCCGCUUACUGCCAGCCCUGAAUUUAGCAGGCUGUCCCCAUUUCUCAAAUUUAUUGCUCCCCUCACCCGUUAAUGCAGUUGUCUUCCUGUGCAGUGUAUGUGUGCAGAGUGCUGAAAAGGGGGGAGAGAUUGGUGCAUUCCUACCCCCCCCCCCUCCUUCUUUUUUCAAUUAACCAUCUGGAAGGCAUUAAUCAAGCUACACAUUUUUUACUAUGUAGGCAUAACCAGUGAACUGUUAACGAGAAAGCUUUAUCUUCUGAGCCCUGUGGAUGGGGAGAGAGAGAAAAGAGGGGAAAAAGAGGAAAAAAAAAAGAAAGAAAAAAAGACAAGAAGGCAGAUAGGAUGAGAUGGCGAACCAGCAAAAAAAAAAAAAAAAGCAAAAAGGAAAAAGCAUCAAUGAAAGAAAAAAGAGA